UACGAAGGGUGCAAGCGUUACUCGGAAUUACUGGGCGUAAAGCGUGCGUAGGUGGUUUGUUAAGUCUGUUGUGAAAGCCCCGGGCUCAACCUGGGAAUGGCAAUGGAUACUGGCAAGCUAGAGUGCGGUAGAGGGUAGUGGAAUUCCCGGUGUAGCGGUGAAAUGCGUAGAGAUCGGGAGGAACACCAGUGGCGAAGGCGGGCUACCUGGACCAGCACUGACACUGAGGCACGAAGCGUGGGGAGCAAACAGG
rnacentral:rRNA from 1 species